GAGGGCAGCGUGGGUGUGGCGGA
rnacentral:miRNA from 1 species